UACGAAGGGGGCGAGCGUUGUUCGGAUUUACUGGGCGUAAAGGGCGCGCAGGCGGCUCAUUUUGUCAGGCGUGAAAGCCCCGGGCUUAACUCGGGAAGUGCUUUUGAUACUGCAGAGCUUGAAUGUGGGAGAGGAUAAUAGAAUUCCAGGUGUAGUGGUGAAAUACGUAGAUAUCUGGAGGAAUACCGGUGGCGAAGGCGGUUAUCUGGCCCAACAUUGACACUGAGACCCGAAAGCGUGGGGAGCAAACAGG
rnacentral:rRNA from 1 species